GUUAGAAAAUUUUUUAUAAAAUAAAAAUAAAAAUAUAGAAAUUUUGUAAUAAUAUGUUGAAGUCAAAGGAUGAAAAAUAAUAUAUUGGACAAAGUUUGGGGAUGAAUUAACCGUAAUCAUCAACUUUGGAUUAUGGAAGACUGUAAUAUAGGAUAAUAAAUCACCAUCUAGUAGCAAUGUGGCUUGAUAACCAACAAACAGAAGACUACAAG
rnacentral:misc_RNA from 1 species